UUUUUUUUUUUUGUAGAUGGUUUGACUAUCAUAAAAGUAUAGUUUAUAUUAACGCUUAUUUGCACAGUAACAAAGAUAUGCUAGAAAUAAUUGACGACCCUCGAAUAAACGCAGUAGUAAUGCAGAAAAUACAUCAGAAAACGAGUUUAAGAGUACUAAAAAAAAUUAUGAUUCCAAUAACUUUAAUGAAAUUACUAACUACAUAGCGGUAUACACACAUAUGCACAUGUUUUUGUACGUAUGUAUAAUGUUUUACAUACAUAUAUCACAUAUAACACAACAGUUUUGCCAUUUCUAAGUAGUGUACAUUUUUUUUUUUUCAUGCUUCUAUACAUACCUACCUAUAUAUAAAUACAUAUUUUUUUUUUUUUUUUUUUUUAGUUUUACCACGAAAUGAUUAUUCUAAACAUUUUUGAACUUAUUUUAUUUUCUGAAUAUGUUUAUGAUAAAAUAGAUUCUUAUAUUAUCAACCUGUUUGCAUAUAUAUACACAAAUUUAGUAUCUUUUCUUAAAACGUAACACAAAAUAAAACAUAAAAAGCGAAACUGUUAUUUAAAAAU
rnacentral:lncRNA from 1 species